rnacentral:lncRNA from 1 species
GAAACCAUAAGUAAUAACACACAUAUCGUGUUAGAAUAAUCCAAAUCUACGAGUUUGGACGGUCUCCACGAAAAUGGACCCUUGGGUUCCCUUAAAUUUCUCAUCGACGAAGGAUCCAAAAAACAGUGAGUAAUAGCAUAUAAAAUUGACCAAAAUAGGUCAAAUCUGCUAUUUUUUUUGGCGAGGUCCCCGUAAGCGGACACCCGGGGACCCCAAACAAUCGGAUCUCGGGGGACCCAAAAAUAAUGAGUAAUAGCAUAGAAAACUGGCAUGAAUAGGCGAAAUCUGUGAUUUUUUAGGAUGACCACACAAGCUGAAGUAGGGGUUUGCCGAACCUUCAAAUCAUGUUGAGACCCCAAAACGAUGAGUAAUAGCAUAGAAUACGGGUCAGAAUUAGUCAAUCUGCGAGUUUUGACGACCUGAGAGUCAGCGCUAGCCGGUGGCGGCCAGACGGCAGCCGCGGUAGGCAGCAGACGUGGCUGUCGGACAAGGGAGACAACACCAACCGGACGCGUAGGCAGCGCCAGCGGCAGCGAAGCCGGCCAAGGCCGGGCGUAGAGCAGCCGACGACGGCGGAUCCAAGCGGGGCCGGGCUUAGGAUGGUCGACGGAGACGAUUCCAGGCAGGGCCAUCGAGGGACGGUUGGUGGCGGCGGAUCCGGGCGGGGCUGUGCCAAGAGGAGGGCAGAGAAAACCGGGGCAGCCGAACGGGAAUAUGAUGGCCGACGGGGCGGACGGAGUGGCUAGGGGUGGGCGGGACGGCCGGAGUGGCUAGGUGCGGAGCUAGCAGCAGCAACGGUGGAGGUGGAGCACACACGGAGUUGCAGCAUGCAGGAGAGAAACUUUGGUAUCUGAUACCAUGUUAGAGAAUGAGCAACUAACGUUCACGGGGCUAAAGGCUAGUACACAUACAUAUGAUAAAAGUACAAGAAACCAUUAUACAAUGGAGAUAUACAGAAAAAGGACUAUACACAUCUAACACCAGCUUCAUUUCUUGAGUAGUUUUAUUUAUACAGAAAGGUACCUUUGUUGAUUUUUGUCAAUAGCUUGUUCUUGGAUUUUAUCAGGACGUGACAAUAUUAUAAGUUACGUAUAAAAGUUUCACCUUGACGAAGAUGGUCCUUCUGGUAACUGCUAAUGCUUGGAAUUUUGUAAGGAAAGUUGUGCCGGUUACUCUGUCAUUACAUGUAUUAUGGGUGUUGGAAAUAGGUUGGUCUUUGCGUUCUGACUUUUAAGUACCGGUAGGAUUUAGGAGCUAACCUUUUAAGCUUACAAAUAAAUAUACGGACGUUUCUUUCAGUUCCCUGUAAAUUAGCAAUCUUCAGAGGUCAAGUAUGCUAGUUGUCAGAUACUUAACUGUUCAUAUCUCUCCUUCAUUCAUAGAGGGAACAAUUUAUGUGACUGGGAAGGCCAACGUGUGAGUGGAGCAACACAAUCCGUCCAUCAGCAUCUCCUUUCGUAAAGAAGCCCUCUUUGCCAAAGAAGAGCAUCUUCUUUUCCAAAGAAGAAAGAAUUGAAUU